GACGAACGCUGGCGGCGUGCCUAAUACAUGCAAGUCGAACGCUUCUUUCCUCCCGAGUGCUUGCACUCAAUUGGAAAGAGGAGUGGCGGACGGGUGAGUAACACGUGGGUAACCUACCCAUCAGAGGGGGAUAACACUUGGAAACAGGUGCUAAUACCGCAUAACAGUUUAUGCCGCAUGGCAUAAGAGUGAAAGGCGCUUUCGGGUGUCGCUGAUGGAUGGACCCGCGGUGCAUUAGCUAGUUGGUGAGGUAACGGCUCACCAAGGCCACGAUGCAUAGCCGACCUGAGAGGGUGAUCGGCCAAACUGGGACUGAGACACGGCCCAGACUCCUACGGGAGGCAGCAGUAGGGAAUCUUCGGCAAUGGACGAAAGUCUGACCGAGCAACGCCGCGUGAGUGAAGAAGGUUUUCGGAUCGUAAAACUCUGUUGUUAGAGAAGAACAAGGACGUUAGUAACUGAACGUCCCCUGACGGUAUCUACCCAGAAAGCCACGGCUAACUACGUG
rnacentral:rRNA from 1 species